CUCGGGUAUUUGGGAUCUUCGAGAGGAUUGAGCCCUACUUAUUGGGGUUCCAAUUUUCCUCGGUGAAUCUAAAUAAUCGAGA
rnacentral:pre_miRNA from 1 species